GGGGUGAUAGCUCAGUUGGGAGAGCGCACGACUGAAGUUUACUCGGUCCAGUCAGGUCAUCUGGCAAUCGUGAGGUCACCGGUUCAAUCCCGGUUCAUCCCA